GGUAAAAAUUGCUCGGGCACUCACCCUUGUCUACUUUGUGUAAAAUAAAAUAAAAAUACAACUUUAAGAUUUCAUGUGACCGAACAAUUAACAGUAACAACUUCAAUCUCUGAUAUAUAUAUAUAUAUAUAUAUAUCCAAGUAGAUGCCUUGAUGUCUUCUCCAGAUAAUUUCUGCUGAACCCCAGGUGAAUAAUCUGGAAAGACACUCAAAAACCCUUUCAUUGCGUAAAGUGAAGAAAAUGAAAGUGGUGACGGUUGCGCUGAUGACUUACCUAUGCUUAGUGAGCAGCGUCGUGGUGGCCGAGAAGACCAAAGUCGACGGCACCAUAGAGAAUCAUCACAACAUACCAAGGCAGUACUAUAACCAGUGGGGCAGCGGAGGAGAUAAUAAUGGCGACAAUAAAGCUGCCUCACUCAUGCAUCCACUGCUUCCUUAAUAUGUCUUCGUUAAUUCUUUUUUUUUUUUGGCUCUACUUUUUCCAGUACUUUUCUGUCUAAAACAAUAAAUUGCAUGUUCGAUUGUUGUUCAAACAA